CUCACUGCAACUCCCCAAUCCAACAAAAUUACAUAAAAUGAAAGAUCCCAAAACCUUGGAGAGAGAGAAGCCAUAAGAAUGCCCAAUUCUUUCCCAAGAAUUCUCUUGUAAAUCCCCACUCUAAUUUUCAAAGGUUGCAAACUUGAAAUUAACAUAGAAGGUAACUGGCUUCAGAGUCAACUAGGAUAAUACUGGGCAUAUAUGCAGAGAGUAGGCAUAGUAGCAACUUUCAGGGUAUGGAAUAAUACAAAAGGAAAGGGAAGACCACAGAAUUCUCUCAGUCAUCUUAACUUGAUUUGGUACUAAGAAUAAGUUAUGUAUACACUUCCCACUGGCCCAUCUGUACGUUAAUAUAGAAAUAGAUUAUAUCCUGGCAACAAGGAAGUGAAAUACUCCUAUUUUUAUAUCAAUAUUGGGCACAAAUUAAGAGUUCAUCAAUAUAAUUUUACCUCAAUUGUAACCAACUGUGCAUAUAAGUUUACCUGAAUUGUUUGUCUGUGCUGCUUGUAUAUAUUGAUCUGUACAGUUGCUUUCUUCAACAAAGGGUCACUACUUUUCUGUACAUCAUAAUCUAUAUGUUCCUGCAAACAUAGUUUACAACUGUAAGCUCAAUAACUAGUGCACUGUUCGAAGUACAUGAUUGAAAAAUGAAGAAAACGGAGUGACCUUAUAACAAUUAAUGAAAGAUAAAAUGUAGUUCACAGAAUAAAACAUUCAAACACCACCAUCUUGAUAGUUAAACAAUUUCACUGUAAAAGCUAUUAAACUUAGCAGGAAAAAAAAUUUAAACUUUAUCUAACAUUUGAAUCUACAAUUUUCAAUUAGCAACUCUUGUCACAAAUGUUUAUUAGUGGGGUACGUUCUAAGAUAUUGUUAUUUGCUAAUUGUCGAGGAUUAUUUGGGAGUUAAAUCUCACAAGAAGGCGUAAAGAUCACAUUAGAAUUAGAUAUUUUACUAGGAAGCUAAAGAUCACAUUAGAACCACCCGCAGGAAUACAAAAAAACGACAUACCUUAUAGUCCAGUUGAUCAAAACCCUUGCAAACAAAUUCGAACAAGGUUCUUAAGUUCUCAGGGCUGGGUGCAGUUACAAAUAUAUUUGAAUACCUGUGAAGAUAUAUUUGUAUCGUCAAAACAUAGUACAUGAAUAUGAGUGUAGACAGCUACACAUACACCAAAACAGUUUUAAUACAUUGUAAAAGGCAUACUACCCUGCAGCAAUAGCUCCGGAAAUUGCCAAACCAAGUGCAGCCGAUUUUCCACGGCCUCGAGCAGCAAGCAAGGCAACAGUACUUCGGAGUGUCUUGUCCAAGAUUGCAUCAAGAAAUGUAGCAACAGCAUUUCCCUGUUGAAACAUUUACCAACUCAAACUAUGAGUCAUAUUAGUAAAUCACACAUGAUAGAAAAACUCAAAACUAAUACAAAUCAGAGAGAGUGCCUACCUGGUCCAACGUACAACAUUUCUUUAUUAAAGGGCCAACAGGAAAGGCAUCACUCAGCUGCUCUUUUAGAUCCUUCAGUUCCCUUUGUGACUCUGAUAUCCCUUCAGAGUCCUUCAAUCAUGAUCAGAAAACAAGAAAAAAGUUAUCAAAGUUAUCAAAGCUUCACAAACUCCUAGAAAGUAUCCUAAUAACCAUUCGGUAUACACACACUUGAAAAAUUACUUUUAUUCUUUUUGUCAUCUCGCAUAAGAUGCCACGAAAAUAAAGCAUUCCUCGAUUUAUCAGUUCCGUCCUAUAGAAAAGUUACAAGGCUAAAAGGUUACCUCUUUCACUGGAACUGGGGUAAUUGACCUCAUAUGAGAUGAAAUUGGUAAAAUAUUCAGCUCAUCAUCCAUUACUACACAUGAUUUGCAUGACGCAAGUGACAAUAAGAAACGCUCGUUAAAACGUCCAGUAGCCUUAGAAUGGGAUUCAGUUCGAAACCUAUCAUGAACAUCCUGAAAUCAAGAGGCGCUGAUAAGACUGUAUGGAGAUUUUUGCAUUUGAGAGAACGAGAAAGACAGUGUUGCAAAUAAAACAUGACAUAACGGAAUUGUUAUCAAAUAUAAUAUGUGGUGCAUGGCUAUUGCUAUAUUCGUUCUAAGUCCAUAAUGUAGUAAAACUAGAAACUACCUCAACAAGAAGAACAAAUAUUAUGAGGAAACCUAGUUGUUUUUUCUUCUUCUUUUUGGGGCUAGAACAUGAAAAGAAACAACUAGUCUACAUAGGCCCAACUGGGAAACUUAUAUGUUCAGCAGCAUUCUCUUAAAGAAAGUCAAGCAAUUGAAUCUACCAAAAGUCUUCUUGUAGCCAAGCACAUCAUUACGAAAAAAUUCGGAAACUUUUAACAUGGCUAGUUUUCAAGAUUUUGCGGUAUAUAAUAAGCAUAACCAUGCUGGCCUAAAAACUAAGCAUUAAUUGUGUGCAUGCGUAAGAGAAAGAGGUAUUAUUAUAUGCAUACCAUAACCAUGGUGUAGAGGUUGGUGAGUGAGGUUAGAGAAUGAAGCAACAAUAUGACUAGUCCACCUCCCUCCACUGUCUCUAUCGUUCUUGCUAGUAGAUUUGGAGUCAAGGCCUCAAAAUCCUAAUGCAGGAGAUCAAACUUAGUCAUAAAACUUAAAUCAAUUAUACAAGGGGUCUUGGCCAAACCAGUAAAUUUGUAAGUUUCAAGUUACCUGAAGUAUACACAUUCCAAAGGUAUUACCAAGAACUCUUUCUGAAUCCUUGUACAAGCAAUAAGUCAAUCCCCCACUUUCAACAAAAAGUGAGAAAGGAUCAACCUUCUCGGGAUCAAGCAGCCCCCUCUGCAUCAUCUUUUUUACUUGCUUAGCACGUUUUUUCUUGUGACUGCAUCAUGAAGUAGUCAAACGCAACGAAUCAAUAUAUUUUAAAAACGAAAUUCCGCCUUGCCUUAUAAUAAGGUGAAGAAUGGAAGGUAGAAGAAAUCAACCUGCUGAGCUCGAGCUUGUCCUUGUAGCACCACAACACAGUCGGGCGCGAUUUCUUUACUUCAUUGCUUAGCAUAUAAUGAAGAUUCACAAUCUGAAGACCAUAUAAAACUCCAUAUUAGCCAUUUUCCGUUAGUUUUCGAUAGAUUUUCGAUGAUAUUUCUUACCUUGUUUGAGGUUUUUAGUGUUACUCGGUGAGUAUUGCAGGUGAAAACAAGAAACAGUAAAACUGGUAAAAUUUUCUACCCAAUUCAAUUUAAAUCAUUGUUAUAACUCCUCAAAUUGAAUAGGAAUAGCAAAUAGGGAAUGGGAUAGGAAAGGCAGAAGAAAUUAGGAGUACCUGGUCACGGGAUUUGUCGCCGACGAUGACGAACAUGGAGCGGUGCCGGUUUUUGACGCCAUUGCUUAUUAGGGUUCGGAUUCGUUCGUCCACCUUCUUCCUCAUUCUCUCUCUCUCUUCUCUCUCUGUGCAAUUAGGUUUAGGGUUUAUACCAUAGGGCAGUUGUCGUCGUCGGGCAGGGUUUAAGCCGAACUAGUGAGAGAGAGACUAGACAUCGCGGAGAGAUAUUGAGUUCAUCUCAACCGUUGAUUGGCUAUCUGAUGGCUGUUAUCAAAGCUGACAUAAAAAUGAAAACUCAACACGUGGCCAAGUAUUUUUUUUCUCUCUUUUUUGGCUUAUUUAUUGAUUUGCCCCAGAAAUUAUUUUUUUUGUCUUACUCUAGGUCAUGAAACAGAAUUUAUCUUACUUUAUCUUCUAAAACUACCAAAAUCGAGUCAUUUCACCCAUGUUUUGUCAAUUCUAUCUCAUAAACGUUAAAUAAAAGGGAGUCUAAACAUUUCAUACCAUGCUAGCAAAGAUGAGCCACUGUUGUUGGUGAGGUACGAAAUUUUCAAACUUUCCUAAACCUUUAAAACUUAAAAGGUAUCUUGAAUAUGAACGUAAAUGAGGUAAAGUUGCUCAAUUUUGGCAAUUUAUGAAGGGUAAAAUGAGACAAAUUCAAUUUAAGGCUAAAGUGAGAGUAAAUGGCAGUUUCAUGAGAUAUAUCAAUAAAUAAAUCUUUUCUAGAAUACAACUAAAUUAUGUACUCACGGUAAAAGAUAAAUUAAUAUCGAACUUGUCAUUGACGAUAUCUAAACAUAAAACCUUUCAAGUUUUUACCUAUAAGAAUAAAUUUGGUAUAGUAAUUUCUUUUCUAAUUUAAAGUUUCCCAUAGAGUUAUGACGAAUUUGAUACCAAAUUAGGCUGUCAUUGUGUGGCAUAGCCGAAUUCCUCCUCCCUUACUUUAAAAAUAACGAUGUACUCAAAAAAAGUUUCCCAUAGAGUUAAAAUGAUCUUUAGUUGCUUGCUGAGACAACCCAUAUGUAUAAUAAGACAUUGAAAAAGGUGCCUCUGUCAUUUACACUCACACGAUCGAAUAAGUAGCUCCGACAGUUGCAUCAUAAAAUUAAGGGGUUUUCCGAGAUUGUAGUAAGGUUGACGAUUAAAGUUUGGGAAAUUUUCAGGUUAAGGAAUCAAGGGAUCACAUUUUCAAGUUUCGUAGGCAUUCUCUUUCCUUUGGAAUGGUGUUGGAAUCCGUCCUGAAGUUGCCCAUUCCUUUGCUCUUGAUUUUCAGAGUUGGAUAGCUAUAAACCUUAGGACACAUUGUACCACCAUACAUGGUUUACCUUGGAACCUUAUCUUUAAUUCAACUCUCUGGCAUUGCUGGAAAUGGAGGAAUAACUUUGUCUUCAAUGAUGGCCAACAACCGCUUGACUCACCCCAGAAUUUCAUUUUUCAAUUUGCAAGGGAAUGGUGUGAUGCGAACAAGUGUUCUUCUAGUAAGCCUCCUAGACAAAAUCAUCUCAAUCCAUUGGAUUCGUUUGCCAAUUGGUAUACAAAAUCAAUACAGAUGGGAGUUGUAAAGACCCAUUUAGCCACAUAAGUGCUGGAGGUUUGCUUCGUAAUUCUGAAGGGAAAUGGAUUAAGGGAUUUGCUGCUAAUUUGGGCAGAGGAACCAUCAUGGAAGGUGAGCUUUAAGGGUGGUUUCAUGGGACUUUCUAUAGGUUGGGAUGAGAGUUGCAAGGAAGUGAUUAUUGAAUGUGAUUCUUAUGCUGCUGUUACUUUGAUCCAACAACCUAUUUUAGUUCCCACUCUACAAUCUCAUUAUUGACUGCAAAGAAGCCAUUGAAAGAAAUUGAAGAUGUGAAGUUACUCAUAUCUAUAGAGAAAAUAAUGUCUUAGCUAAUCACACGUCUGACUUAGGUCAUGGGUUAUCACUUGGUCUUCAUGUUUUUGCUUCUCCUUCUACCAUUGCUACUAAUUUUAUAGUUUCUAAUACUAUUGGCAGGGCCCUCCCUAGAGCUGUUUUUUAGUAGCUUUUUUGUUUUGCUUGUUGGGCUUUGCCCUCUUCUGUACCCAAAAAAAAAAAAAAAAAAAAAAAUAUUGGGAAAUUUAUUUGGACCCAACUUUUUUAUCUCUACACCCAAAUAAUAUUUUCUCUUAUCUAAUCUUCCAAAUUUGUCCUUAAAUAACAAACAUUGAAGUUUUCUUUGUAUCUCUACACCCAAACCCCACGAUCCACCACUGUAGGGCGCUCCAUUAUUUCCGACAAACCCAACUCAAACGCCAGCAACACUAAAAUCGACAAAUCAAGACUGGAGAACAAAUGGUGUAGGAGUCCUAAUGUGAAUAUUAAAGCAAACUUAAGUUGCAAAACCCUUUUUUAUUUCAAUCGAUGAAAGGACCUUGGGUUAUGAACAUAAGGAACCUAUUAGGGUUUAGAGGUCCCCUCCACAUCAUAUGCAUAAGCCCUUUUUCUUCAUUCAUUAAUUUACGGAAGGGAAAAUUAAUACUAUUAUUCUCAUAAAAAGUGGGAAUACCAAGGAAAGAGAUCCUCUCCACACCAUAUAUUUUUCUUUUCUGAGUAGUUAUAUCCAAUGGAGAGAGGAAAACAAGAGCACCAAUGGUCGCAGGUUCACCGGAGAAAAUGAAGGUGCAGUGGUGAUGUGAGUUUAGGGUUAUUGGGUGUAAAGAUAACAACUUUAAUAUUUAUUUUCUCAUUUUUAUUUAUUUAAGGGCAAAUUUGAAAGUUUAGUAGAGAAAAUUUGUUAGUUGGGUGUAGAGAUAAAAAGGUUGGGUCCAACAAAAUUUCUCAUAAAGUUUAAUCACGCGAUUAAGUUCUUGUGCAAUGAGUAAAUUGUAGCAAUGACCCAUCAACUAAAAAUCCAUUAUUAUUGAUCCCUCAACUCAUCAAAAUAUGUAGUUAUGGUCAUUUUCGUCAACUUUGUAAGAAUUUUGUCAAAAUAAAUUAUGUUGGAAGGACCAUUGUUACAAUUAAGGUCCUUCAACUCAUCAAAACAUGUAGCUAUGGUCAUUUUCGUCAACUUUGUCAAAAUGAGUUAUGUUGGCAUGACCAUUAUUGCAAUUGGGUUAAAGUUGAGGAAUCAUUGCUCCAAUUGGGUUAAAGUUGAGGGAUCAUUUCUCUAGUUAGAUUAAAGUUGGGGGACCAAUGAUAAUUAAGUUUUAGUUAAGGGAUCAUAGUUGCACGUUUUGAUGAGUUGAGAGAUCAAUGAUAAUGAAUUUUUAGUUAAUGGAUCAUUACUCCAAUUGAGUUAAAAAUAAAGGACCAUUGCUACAAUUUACUCUUGUGCAAUAGAAGAUUAAUUUGGCCGAACAACCUGAUUAAGGUGCCUACUUUCUCUUUAAUUCAUUGGUAUCAUUUAUUUUCCCUUAAGCUGAAUUAUGCUCAAUUUAUGUAUCAAUAUUGUAAAGUUGUCUUUGUUAGAGUAAUUUGGACAAUAUAAAUUGAAAAUUAUUUGUGUAUAUGGAAAAGAUUAACCUCAGGGGUCACUUCGCCGGACUCCGUAGCAAUCUCCACCACUCCAAUCGUAAUGGUGAGUAAAUCACUUGUGUUUGUUUCCAUUUUUUCAAUUGGAAAUUGGGGGUUUUGAAUUCAUAUUUUGUCAAUUGGUUUUGUGAGCACUGAGAAUACACUACGAGCUUGUGUGUGUGUACAAUAUGUUGGAUUUGAUCUUUAUAAAGAAUGCGAGAAAUUGGGGUUAGGAAAGAGAAGAAAAGGAAACAGAACUCGAACUUCGAUCUUCAUUCUUGUUACUAAAGGAGAAAACCGAAUUUGAACCGGUUCAUACGUAAUCGAACCGAAUUUGUAUAGUUCGGUUCACCCCUUAGUACCGAACCGUACCAUACCAAAAAAAAUUUCUUGAGUUUGGUUUUGAUACAUCCCUCAUACUGUACCAUACCAAAUCGUGGCCAGACCUACUGAAUACAAAACUUAUAUCUGGGUCGUAAGUCGUAAGGCCUCCAAAAAAAAAGUUCAUAUUAUUCAUACCAAUCGGACAAAUCCCGCACCCAAAAACAAUGGCUAGAUAGAAAGUUCAAUUAUAGAUUAGGUAAUCUAUCCUUUUCAACUUAAAUGCACAUUCAUGAUGGUUAUGCAAAUCAUAUUAUGUUAACAAAUGCAACAAUUAAUUAUAUUUAUCCAUUUGGAAUGAUAUAUAUUUUCAAAGAUGGAAUUACAGACCCCGUUGACGUUGAGGCCAUUGCAUGAGAGAAUUUUAGAUGAUUUUCAAUUAAUUUAUAUUAUUGUUGUGAUAACCAUAAUAAUUAUUUUCUAAAUGUAAAACUAUAUUAAUGAAAUUUUCUUUGUCGGUCAAAAGAAGAUGAAAAGAUAUCUUUAUCUUCUAUCACAACAAAAAAAUUAAGGAUAUUAAUGUAAUAGGCUAAUAGCGAUGGGGUGAAGAAAUGGAACUAUCCUAAAUAGGCAGUUGCUGGUUAUAUUGGAUCAGGUGGUCUGAAUGAUUGGAUAAUUAGCAAAUAAAAAGGUUCCAUUUUUCAUGGACCCUCAAGUGGAAAUAUGGGAUAAAAGAUGGCAUAUACCAUUUUAUCCAUUUGUGAUUGUACAUUUUGAUGGUUGUGAUUUCACCCGAUGGCGCGGCAAGUGUGGAUUGGGAUAAGGAUGGUUUUGGUCUAUCAUCAAAGAUGGUUUGAUGUUCACGACUGGAUUUUACAACGCAUCCAAGUGCAUGGGUUCUAUAAAUACAGAGUUGCGCACAAUAAAAAAGUACAAAGGACCUUCAAACCUUUCACACACUCUGAGAAACUCCUGAUUCUCCCAACUUCGUCAACACAUCUUCAAUUUGGAUUAACAUCACUGUUUGUCAGUGAGGAGUCCUUAGUCUUCUCGUCUCAUUAGCCCUCUAGGUGAAGUGAGGUGUUACUGAAUUACUUGAGUAUUCAGCACAUUGAAAGUCGAACCUUAUUUGAACUUCACAGUAGUUAGCAAUCUUAUCUUCAGGUUUUAGAACCCAAUGCCAAGACAUAUUCCUUCCUCGACAGUGAUGGUUUGUACACAAAAGUUGGUUUGUACACAUAAGUCAGUAUUGUGUUUGACACACCAUCCCAUUCAUUCUACUAGCCCACAAACGCGUGGACUCGUCCAAAAUUACCCCACUCUCGGCCCGUUCACUUGCCCACUCGUCCCACGCGGCCCGUGAGUCUUCAGUGCCUGAUAGGGGGGCCUACUGUUAGGGCCGUUGUUGGCCACAACCCAGAGCCCAACGAUUUUUUUUUGCAUCCCACGACUGGCAUUUUUGGACCGUUGGUUGAUCCAACGGUCCAGAUUCAAAUUUUGUUUUUUUAAAUGUUAUUUUAAAAUACAUUGAAUCCAACGGCUGAGAUCGAAUAUAAUCAAAUCUAACGGUAAAAUAAAAAAAGAUAAAAAAAGAUAUAACAGUCCAAAUUUAAAUCCAACAGCUAAAAUAAUUUUAAAAAAAAUUAUUUAACUCAAAAUUCACCCAAAAACUCUAUAAAUACCUUUGUAUUUGUUCAAACAUCCACACAAAACUCAAUUUUCUCCCACAAUUCUUCCAUUUUUUCUUUCUACCAUUUCUUUCCAUUUCCAAAUUGUUCAACACGAUCCUUGAAUUGGCCAUCCCAAGCAGUAAGACAAUUCUUCCACUCCCAAAGCAUACAAUCGAGACUUCCUAUCAUGUCAGGAAAGCCUAUUUUGUCUGCUUUGAGUAGAAUGUGACGACAUGUCCCGAAUUAUUAUAUAUUUUUCUCCCUAAGUGUGUAAAGUGACGGUAAUGCCCUCGUGAUUUAGUGACGUGGAUGUACAUAUGUAGUUUUAAAUUAUUAUUUCUAUUGUCGUAGUUAAAUUGUACUCGACGCCAUGAGUGUGUUGAUGUGACCUAGGGCUAAAACAAAUUCGUAACGAAGAAGUUACGAACAGACGAGUGUGUAAAUGCGUAGAAAUAUAUUUUUAUGGGUUGGCUAUACCUUACCCACCAAUCACCUUAAUUCCUGAUUUCUUUGGCCUAAUUGAAUUAAAAAUAUCUCUCAUUUUUCCUUCUGCCCAAUCACGCACAUACACACCAUCACUCUCUCUCUUCUCUCGGACCUUCUUCUUCUUUCUUCUCAUUCCGUACACCCGAGCCACCCUUACCUCACAAUCAUCAUCAAAACAUUAUGGAUCGAAUUGGAAAUCACUACCAUCGCAGUCACCUCGAUCCCACGAACUCAUUGAUACCCUUAGGUCGAGGAAUAGACGUCGGGAAUUCGAGAACUCGGGAGCUCUGGCGAGGUGUAUUUUUCUACUUUGUGAUCGUGGUCUUUUUCUAUGGUUUAAAGGCUUGAGGUGGGUCCUAAUCAACUUUAUAGGGACCCUAGAUUAGUUUUGGAGCAGUUUGAACGUUGGAAUAGGUGAGAACAUGGAGUUGCAGGUUGGCCGGUUGAUCCAAGCCUUACUCCGACCACUUUCUGUCGGUUUUAGAACCUCAAGUAGGUAAGAUUGUAUUCUUCUAGUUGAGAGUUUCAAAUCCAUAUAAAAUUCAUGGAAUUUGGUUGAAAAAUGAUGAAGAUAUUAAAGUUUUAAGAUUUUUCCAAAAAUCAGCGACACAAACGGCGCCCGACGGCCAGCGAUGGAUUCCGACAAAGCCAUCGGAGAAGGAGGAGAAUAUUAUGUCUAACUUUGACAGAAUAUACUAACAGCGUCAGGUAACUCUAUUAGUUUUUAAACAAAAUAUUCUACUAUUUAAUGAAAUAUUCCCUAACGCCGUUAGGGAUUCCGUGCCUGCACGUGCCGGCUUAUGAGGGCGCGUGAGACGUCAGGAAAUUAAUCUAAAAAUAUUGGGGUGUUCGAGUUGUUGAGUAGGUCAUGUUGGUAUAUUCAAACACCCUAUUUGAGCAACGUAUGAGAAGUUAUUCCUAGGGUUUGUGUAUGUGCCUUAAAAUUAAUGUAAAAUUAGUUAUUUCGCAUAUAGGUGAGACUUACCCGGAGGACAAACGUGGUCAAACGAGACUUGGGGGCUACGAUCCUACUACUUACCAGUGAGCGGGCUUUUUUUUUCUAUAUAUAUGUAAAUAUGCUUAUGAAUCCCAUAAACUACUUUAAAUGAACGUAUGUUUUAAAUGCCAUGUCGUGUGCAUUAUGUGUUAGUAUUGCAUUAGUAUAGCUAUGCAUAGUAUUGGAUGAGACUGCGCAGACUCAGGUAAGUUUCAGGUGAGUACAUCAUGAUGGUAUUGGGUGCGUGUGUGUGGUUAUACGUUGAUGCAUUUUGAGCUUAUUAUCCUGCACAUUGGUGUUAGUGUUCUCGCCCAUGGCCAGGGCAUAGUUUUUCACAUGAUGUUCACCUCCUGGGCCGCACGCUCACUUUGGAUCCAAGUUUGGUGCACAGCCAUAUUGCACAGACCACAAUAGGUGGUUCCGACUCGUAGGUGACCUGCAAUUAUUUGCACAGCCUUCACGUGAUCGUAGCACUUAAGCGUACUUAUCUACACCCAGCCCUGUUGUACAGACCACAAUAGGUGGUUCCGACUUAUGUGCAUGCAUACUUGAUGAGCUAUAGAUUCAAUUGUACAGGUUACAUUAGGUGACUCCGGUUGGCAUACUAUUUUAGGUUGAUUCGUAUCACCUGGCUUACACAUUUUAUGGUUGAACAUCUUGACAUGGCAUACCUCUGUUUUCACUGCUCUAAGCAUUAUCCUUAUGUACCUAGUUGUUAUUAUUUUCUGGAAAAUUAUAUGGGUUUACAGUGAGGGGUUAGUAUGUUCAUAAAGACAACUGUGUUUUCAAAAACUUUGUUUUUGCCUACUCACAUUUUUUGUUUUGCACCCUUUCAGGUUCUAGGUAGUUGGUCAUCCUUGGUGGCUCACGAGGACUUUCACGGCGGUUCUGACAUCUCUGUAAAUAAGUAGGGAUUUUUUUCCCUGUUUGUAUAAUUAGUACUUAGUUGGUUCGAUUGCACUUUCGUUUACCCAUGCUCUGAUAUUUGUAUAACUUGCUUGGUCAUCUUUACUCACUUAUAUUAUCUUAGUUUAGAUAAGUUUGGUUUUAGGUUUUUAUUUAUUCGCAUUUCUUUUAUUAUUACUUCUGUUGCGCAUUUUGGCUACGUUACUCUUACGUGACGGGCAUCAUGUUUCGACUUCGGUUGGGGUGUGUCAUAAAAGCCUCUUCAAGUCUUCAUGAUUUGGCUUGCAGAGAUAUGUGGCUCCAUAUGUGGCCUGAAUUGCCCCACAGAAGCGCUCCAGGUUUUUAAUAGCAGUAGUCUCCGCAAGUCGGCAAUACUCAUCAGUUGAGUUUGCAGAGCACUCAUUAGCUAGCAUCCGAAAUGCAGAUGUGAGCUUCUGAUGAGGUGAUAGACUUUGUCGGCCUACGACAUUUAUCUUCCUUGCAAAGUAGUGGUCAUGAUUGACAACUGUGUUCAAGAUGCUUUCAAAAAUCUCUCUCCUCAUUCGAAACCGUCUCCGAAAAUCAUGAGCAGGAAAUCUCGGACGCUCAAUAAAAUAAUAUUUCAUCAUUCGGUCAUGACACUCUUCUCUAUCACGUUGCACAAAUGAACGCUUCGUGACAUAACCACAAUAGCUAGAUUCGACAUGGUGCUCAUAUUGCAUAAGCGAGUUUGGAAGUUUAGCUUAUGCGUUGAUCAUUUUUGAAUCCUCAAUGUCAAGGCUUGCUUGGUAUUAUGUCAUUUGCAUUGCCCUGCUACACCUUCUUCUAUCAUCCAUUGUUGAUAUAUUGAGGAUUUUUAUGAAACAAAAACACUUUGAAAGUUGAAAGAUUAGUGAAUAUAGGGAAUGAUUGAAGGUUGAAAGAUUGUGUGACCAACUGAUAUUGAACAUGUGUUUAUAUAGAGGAUGAUUGAUGAAAGUUGAAAGUUUGGUGAAAGUUGAACGGUUGGUGAAAGUUGAAGAUUUGUGAAAGUUAAAGACUUGCUUUGUGGAAAGAUUUAGUGAUUUUUUCAAUAUUUAUUGGAAUUUAAAUAUUUUUAUAUUAAAAUGUUCAUAAAAUUAAUUUACCAUAGGCUACAUAAUUUUUUUUAAAAGUUAAUUUAAGAAAAAAAAUUAGCCUAAGUUCAUUCUUUAAUAAUCCCGAACUAAAAUUUUAGGCUAGGGUUGGAGCAGAAAAACUGUUUCUGUGUUAAAAGCUAAAUUUUUUAGAUUAAAAAUUUUAAAUUUUAACCCAAAGGUUGGAGAUGAUUUAAGAAUGGAUAAACUUAACCAAGAAAAGAAGAAAAAAGAUGAAGGGCAAAUAAGUGAGAAGCAACAUGACACGACACACGGACGACCAUAGCAAUAAAGCGUGCGUCCUCACGUCCAUUGAAUAUAUAGAUGGGAGCUACAACAUCGUGUUUCACGUGCAUGUGUAUUAUACAUAAAGGCAUAUACAGUGUUAGCUUAUAUAUUAUAAAGUUUGUAGGCCACUUACCCAAUUUGGCAUAUGUUUUAUCUUUUUACGUGAAUAACCAAUGUGUUAUGAUGAUACAAGUCUCUUAACAUAUCCGGAGUUAGAAAUAUCAUAAGACAGUGUUGCGAUCAUAUUGAAAUUAAUUGACAGUUUGUAUUAUAUAUUUGAUUAUUCUUUAUUAACUUAAGGAGACAGCAUACUUAGACCUAAUUUAGUCACAUUCUCCAACCGAAAAUAAAGCGGUGUAGUAUUCAUACACUUUUUUUUAUUUCUUACACAGUCUUAAUUAAUUUCUAUUGUUUGAUCUUCUUCAAUUCAUUCGAUCUGACGACCGAAAAUUAAGAUGGUGUGUGGACGAGUAAAUUAUAACAAUGGUCCCUCAACUUUAAUCAAAUUGGAGCAAGGGUGCUCAACUAAAAAUCCAUUACCAUUGGUUCCUCAACUCAUCAAAAUGUGUAGCUAUGGUCAUUUUCGUCAACUUCGUUACAAUUUUGUCAAAAUAAGUUAUAUUGGAAUGACUAUUGCUACAAUUGGGGUCCCUCAACUCAUCAAAACGUGUAGCUAUGGUCAUUUUCAUCAAUUUCGUUAGAAUUUUAUCAAAAUGAGUUUUGUUGGAAUGACCAUUGCUACAAUUGAAUUAAAGUUGAGGGACUAUUAUUUCAAUUGAGUUAAAGUUGAAAGAUCAUUUCUUCAGUUGUAUUAAAGUUGAAGGAUCAAUGGUAAUGAAUUUUUAGUUGAGGGGACUAUAGCUGCACGUUUUAAUGAGUUGAGAGAACAAUAAUAAUGAAUUUUUAGUUGAAAAACUAUUACUUCAAUUGAGUUAAAAUUAAGAAACAAUUGCUACAAUUUUUUUAUAUGGAAAGUGGAUGAUGUGAAUAGCACAUCCAAAAAUAAAAGGGAACUUUAACGAAAAGCACCCGGUACUGUUCACUUUAACGAAAAACCACAUUUUUACACUAAAAAGUCAAUCCUGGUACUAUUCACUUUACCCUUUAUUUUGUCCUUAUCAUUAAAACUCAAAGUUUUCAAGCCCUUUUCAUUAGUUUUCCUAAAAUAAAAUGCACCACAAUUUGGUAGGAUCUUCCUGUUGAGAGUAAUAAAUUAAUAAUUGCCGAAAUAUUGGAUAAUUUGUCGGCCACAACGCUAUGAGGGAGUAUCUGGGGAUGAAUAUACUCUUGCCGACAGAUGCCCAAAUUCCAACUGCCAUUCAAAUGAGCCCUCCACCACCACCGGCCAUAAUAAAUUCUCUUUCUUUAGUGAAGAAGAAAAAGAGGUACUUGGCCCUCACCUCAACUUUUUGAGAAAGAACAAGUUUAUCGCUAUCAGAAUGUUUCGGUCAAUUAUAUAAGUUAUGUGUAAAUUUUUCUUUAGAUAACAUUACAUUAUUAUAUUUAAAAUGUUCCGUAACGAUAAAUUUGUUUCAUACAAAUUAUUCUCCAACUUCUUGGAUUUUUCUCCUUUUUCCCGAAAACCAGCUUAUAUUAGUGUUCAUCCUCUGUCAAUAUCACUCGCCCACAACUAUUCAACUAACUUUUAAUAAUUUGACAACGUGUCAUAUUUUUGUGCAAAGCGGGCCCAUUUUUGUGGGUGAUAUAAUAAUGGCGUAUGUGGUUUGUCAAGACAUAUACUCAUUUAUCCAUUAGCAGUUAGGUAAGUCACCUCACUCACCCACAGCCUAACACAUCAACAAAUAUUGCUUACAAAUUCUAGAAAAUUCGACCAAGAAAAAAAACCAAAUGCUCGCAAAUUAAAAUUGUGUAACAUGAUUAGUUUUUUAUCCAUUAGUAUUAAUUUUACGUUGGAAGAAAUUCCAAAUUUAUUCUUGUAAAGAGGGAUAUGAAAAUACUUUGUAUGUCUAUCACCAAAAUCUUCGAAUGUUUGAAUGGUUGAUUUUCAAGUCUCACACAAUUGGAUUUAGUUCAAGUGAGAAAGAAAUACACUCAAACUAUUAGAUAUGAGGAAUGAAAAUACACUACAAAAUCUUGUGAACAUUUCUAAUAUUCUCUUCUAUCUACUUUUUGUGAACCAAGUUUUUAUUUGUUUUUUUUUUUAACAAAAGAUAUUUUUUAUACUAGGGAAAUAAGGUGGGUUUAGCCUCAUAAUGGGCUAACAUAAUCUAGUUCAAACUUGCAUUUGGUGAGAAUCGAACCUAAAAUCUCUCACUUACAAGUGAAGAGGAAUACCAUUAGAAGUGUCAUGAAAUUAGCAGUCUUAUAUGUAAAAAAUUGAUUGACUAAAUGCUGUGUUAAAAAACAAGAUUAAUACUUGCAUCUCCCCACUUGGAAAAUGCAAAUAUUUCAUUUCUUGCAAAUAACGUAUAUCAUGCGUUCUGUUCAAUCGCAUAUUCAAAAAUGUUAAAAACAAGAUUAAUAUUUCUAUCUCCCCACUUGGAAAAUGCAGUAUUUCAUUUUUUACGAAUAACGUAUAUCCUGUGUUCCGUCCAAUCGCGUAUUAAAAAAAUGUGUGAAGUUUGGAUUAACUACACUCUUUGAGAAUUUCCUUAAAUAACCACUUUUUGAAAAUUUCUUAUAGGACUAAGUGAGUCUCCGCUGAGAAUUUCCUUAACUAACACAACACUACUUGAGUGAUAAUUUGUUAUAUCUUGAAUAGAGAAUAAAUCAGUUCCCUACUUUUGAAGGUACUAUUAACUUACACUAUAUUUGAAUGAGAACAAUAAACUUAGAAUUUAGAUGAAGGAAAUAAAACAGUUUCCUACUUUUGAAGGUACUACUCGAGUGAUAAUUUGUUAUAUCUUGAUAACGUGUCAUAUUUUUUUGCUAAGCGGACCCAUUUUUGUGGGGUGGUAUAAUAAUGGCGUUUGUUGUUUGUCAAGGGCAUAUACCCAUUUAUCCAUUAGCAGUUAGGUCACCUCACUCACCCACAACCUAGUACAUCAACAAAUAUUGCUUACAAAUUCUAGAAAAUUCAACCAAGAGAAAGAAAACCAAAUGCUCGCAAAUUAAUCUGUGUAACAUUAGUUUUUAUCCAUUAGUAUUUAUUUUACAUUGGAAGAAAUUCCAAAUUUAAUCUCGUAAAGAGGGAUAUGAAAAUACUUUGUAUAUCUAUUAUCAAAAUCUUUGAAUGUUUGAAUGAUUGAUCAUCAAGUCUCACACGAUUGAAUUUAGUUCAAGUGAGGAAGAAAUACACACAAACUAUUAUAUAUGAGGAUUGAAAAAUACACUACAAAAUCUUGUGAUAACAUUUCUAAUAUUCCUUUCUAUCUACAUUUUGUGAUAAGUUUUUUUUUUCCUUUUUUGAACAAACUAUAUUUAUCUACAUUAAGGGAGAGGAGGUGAUCUUAGCCUCACAAUGGGCUAGCAUAAUGUGGUUCAAAUUCGCCUUUGGCGAUAAUCGAACCUAAAACUUAUCAUUUACAAGUAAAUAGGAAUACCACUAGAUGGAUCAUGAAAUUAGCAGUCUUAUAGGUAAAAAAAAAUUGAUCGACUAAAUGAUGUGUUAAAAAACAAGAUUAAUACUUGCAUCUCUCCACUUGAAAAAUGUAGAUAUUUCUGUGAACACGGAAAAUUCCUGAAACGAAAGAGACAAGAACAACGUGCACAAAAUAAUAUUUUGGUGUUAAUGGAUUUGUUGGGUUACGAUCUCUUUUAACUUGAUCCUCUGAUUCGAUCUCCGUAAGGUGUUGAUUUAUGGAUGUUUCGUUGAUCCAAGGGCUGUUGAGGCUUGAUCUUAGAUGAACUGUUGGAAGUUUCUUCAAGGGGCCGUGGGCUUGAUCUUUGAAGGUGGAUUUGAGCGGAUCUUCAAGGAGCCGUUGGGGCUUGAUCUUGAGGAUGAGUGUUUCUUCAAGGGCCGUUAAGGCUUGAUCUUGAAUAACGGUGAUGAACGGAUCUUCAAGGGCUUUUGGGCUUGAUCUUGAAGAACGGUUGGAUGUGUGGAUUUGUUGAUGUUGUUGAUCCAAGGGCCGUCGGAGCUUGAUCUUGGAAGAACGAUGAACGAAGAACGAAGAACACUUUCUUCAAAGGCCGUCGGGGCUUGAUCUUGAAUUGGUGAUUGUUGAUCCAAGGGCCGUCGGGGCUUGAUCUUGGAAGAACGAUGAACGAAGAACGAAGAACACUUUCUUCAAGGGCUGUCGGGGCUUGAUCUUGAAUUGGUGAUUGUUAAUCCAAGGGCCGUCGGGGCUUGAUCUUGAUUCUUCGGGAUGAACGGAUGAUGAACAAUGAACACUUUCUUCAAGGGCCGUCGGGGCUUGAUCUUGAAUUGGUGGAAGUUCUUCAAGGGCCUUUGGGGCUUGAUCUUGAAGGUGGAUGAUUGUUGAUCCAAGGGCCGUCGGGGCUUGAUCUUGGGAUGAACAGUUGUGUGGAUUUGUUGAACACUUUCUUCAAGGGCCGUCGAUGCUUGAUCUUGAAUUGGUGGAAGUUCUUCAAGGGCCGUUGGGGCUUGAUCUUGAAGGAGGAUUUGACGAAGAACGAAGAGGGCUUUCUUGAUCCUUCGGGAUUUGCUUGAAUUUGGGAGGUUGGAUGCUUGAAAGCUUUAGAGUUUCAAAGCUUCAAGGAUUUUGGAUGUGUGGGGAGUAUUCUCUUCCAUUUUGGGAGUAGAGAAAUGUAUUUGUGAAUUGGUUUUUGAUACCUUGAUGUAGAAGCCUAUUUAUAGGCUUUGAGAAUGAAUCACCACCACAAAAUAUUUUUUUUCUUUUCCAAGCACCAUUGCCUAAUUUCCCACUUAAUACAAUUUUAAACUUGAAGUGGUAAUUUUAUGGCCUAAUUUUCCACUUAAUAUCAUUUUAAACUUGAUAUGUGCAUGCUUUGUCAUUGCCCAAAAUGAGAAGAAAACCUUGUUUUGAUCUUCAAUGAAUUGAAAUGUGCUUGCCUUGUCAUUGCCCAAAAUGAGAAGAAAAACUUGUGUAAUCCUUCAAGGGUAUUUCUUUUUAUUUUGUUGAGUCGCACACCAUGUGUACAAUUUGUAUGACACGUGGCAUAUGCCAUGUACGCCUUGACACGUCAAAAUUUUAAUGCGUUGGUGAACAUUUAUUUCACCGCAAUUUCGGUGUCUACAAAUGCCCCCACUUCAAGGUGCGUCGUAUACAUGUGCUUGUCACGUGUAGGAGAUGCGUUUUGAAGUCCCUUACUGUAGAUGUCAAUCCAAUGGCCAUCGAGGCUUGAUCUUGAAUUGGGCUGGAGAUUUCUUCAAGGGCCGUUGAGGCUUGUUCUUGGACUUUGUUUGAAAUUUCUUCAAGGGCCAUCGAGGCUUGAUCUUGAAGGUUGAAAUUGGACCACAAGGAGCUUCAUGUGGUAGAUGAUCUUUGGCUUUGGUAGUGGAUGAAUCGGCACGUAUUUGUUUUUGCGCUUUGUUGACUUUCCACAGCUUUGAUCUUGAACUGGGUUGGAGGAUUUUUUGGAUUCCUCCAAUUGUUGAUUUUCCACAGUUUAUUCUUGAACUGGAUUUGAUUCAAAUAUGGUGGACGCUUGAUCUUGAAUCGGACUUGUGAUUUCCUCAAGGGCCGUCGAGGCUUGAUCUUGAAUUUGGCCGGAAACUUCUUCAAGGGCCGUUGAGGCUUGAUUCUUGAAGGUUGACUCGAACACAUGGCAAGCAGGCACGAGGUGAAGGUGACGACUUGUUGCUUUGUUCAAUCUUUCUAAUUCACACCUGAGCAGUUUGGUCAACGGUAUGAUCUUCAAGAUUGAUGGGCUCUUCUUCCAGUUGGUGAUUUGAUCUUUAAGGAUUUGAUUCAAGGGUGGUGAAACGGCACAUGCAGCCCACAACGCCUAGCAAGUCGACCCAAGAAUUUGAGGGUUAAAACGAGUCCUCCACCCAGAGUGAUUGCAAACCUGAUGAUAUGAGAUACUUUUGAUUUUGAAGAAGUAGCGGAUGAAUCGGCACGUGCUUUGUUGUGCUUGUCUCCACAUGCUUCAAUGUAUCAUUUUCCCUUGUCUUAUCUAUUCUUCUAGCAGAAUGUAGCAUCUUCUUAAGUUCUUCAACUCAGACUCCUUCUGCUGAGCUGACUGUGCAGGCUGCAUUAUUCUCUGCUUGUUUCUUUAGGCAGAUGUGGCAGCUUCUUGAGUUCCUCAGCUCGGACUCCUUCUGCUGAGCUGAUUGUGAAGACUGCAUUCUUAUCUGCUUGUUUCUUCUGUACGUUGUCUCCACAUGCUGCAAGGUAUCAUUUUCAAUUGCCUUAUUUGUUUUCCAGGCAAAUGUGGCAUCCGAGUUUGAGUGGAGGUUCUGGCAUAUUGUUUUCUUUAUCCUUGUCUUUGUAGGUAAGAACAAGGACAAAGGAAAGGACAGGGAGAACGCAUGAUAUGAUAUACUCUUGCUUUCUACCCUGGUGAUAUGAGAUACUUUUGCUUUGGUGUCAUUUGUUUGCAGAGGUACCCCAAGGAAUAAGAAACACUGAGUGACUCGAGAGGCUUUGUUGGGAAGGCAUUCUAGGAGAUGAAGAAAGGUUCUUGGAGAUGAAGAAAGGUUCUCGGAGAUGAAGAAAGGUUAUGUAUGUCUGCCUUGCUAUGGAGGGUAAAGGUGGACAGUUAUAGGAAAUUCUUUAGUACCUGUAGAGGUACUAUUCUUUUACUCGUGUCGGCAACCAAUGUGUGAUUGAUCAGUAUGGCUUCACGUGUUUUCUUCUUUAUCAGAAAUCUUCGACAAAUUGUCCGUAAUUUUCGUCAAGCUGAGUGUGCAUGUGACAGGUGUUGACGAGGCUGAAAAAGACUGGUGCCUCUUCGAUAUCUGGGAUCGGCGCUUCGACAAAUUGCCCGUGAUUUCCGCAAAGCUGAGUUUGCGCGUGACGGGUGCUGACGAGGCUGAAAAAGACUGGCGCCUCUUCGAUAUCUGGGAUUGGCGCUUUAACAAAUUGCCCAUGAUUUCUGCAAAGCUGAGUUUGCACGUGACGGGUGCUAACGCGUCUGGAAAAGCAAGAUGCUUCUCCGAUUUCUGAGCUUGCCUCUUUGAUUUUUGAAUUGGCCUCUUCGAAUUCUGAGCUCGCCUCUUCGAUCUUUGAAAUCCCAUCGAGUGUUGAUCUUUAUAGAGGCACGCAGUUCGUUUCAAAGCACACUUGAAUUUUCGCUUGUAGAAACUCCCUUCUUGCACUUCUAAGAUCUUGAUUUGUCCGACCUCUUCUUUCUUCAACACCUUUGAAAAUGUCUGGACCCUCCGACCGUCAUUUUGAUUUGAACCUUGGUGAAGAGGUAGUCCCGUCUUCUCCAGAUAACAUAUGACGCCCAUCUUUCAUAUCCCCUACUGGUCCUCUUACCGUUGGGGAUUCGGUGGUGAAGAAUGAUAUGACCGCUGCGGUGGUGGCCCGAAACCUUGUCACUCCCAGAGAUAACAGACUACUUUCCAAACGGUCUGAUGAGUUGGCUGUUAAGGAUUCUCUGGCUCUCAGUGUGCAGUGUGCAGGUUCUGUGUCUAAUAUGGCCCAACGCCUAUUUGCUCGAACCCGUCAAGUUGAAUCAUUGGCGGCUGAAGUGAUGAGUCUCAAACAGGAGAUAUUAGAGGGCUCAAGCAGAGAGAUAAACAGUUGCAUAAGCUCGCACAUAGCUAUGCGACAAACAUGAAGAGGAAGAUUAACCAGAUGCAGGAAUCUGAUGGUCAGAUUUUACUUGAUCAUCAGAGGUUUGUGGGUUUGUUCCAGCAGCAUUUGCCUUCGUCUUCUGGGGCUGUACCGCGUAAUGAAGCUCCAAAUGAUCAACCCUUGGCUCCUCUUCUUCCUGGAGUUCCGCCGAGUGGUGUGGCUUCAAACAGUCAACCUCCGACGCCUCUCAUUUCUGGAGCUCUGCUGAGUGGUGAGGUGGCACCUAAUCGUCCUUGAAGAUCCCCUCUUGUAAAUUUGAUUUGAUUUUUUUUUAAGUAUGUAUAAUGCAAAUUUAUGUAAAAUUUCCAGAAAAAAUAAAUAAAAACGGACUUUAUUUCUCUCAAUGCAUUUGUUUUGUUUUGUUUUUGUUUUUUUUGUUUUUUUGUUUUUGUUUUUUUUGUAAAUACAUAAUAACAUAUGUAUUUAUUUAUUUAUUCUUUUGUAAUAAAAUUGACUUUCUUUAAUAAAACUUUUAUAUUUUUCUUAUUUAUUUUGAUAUGACUGAACUCGAAAUUGAAUGUUCGAGCCGCCUACGUACCCUUCCAAAGAAGAGAUCAAGCCAUAACGUAGUUCAAAUGAGUGAUGAAUUUAAUAGUGAUUUUGAUGAUGAUUUUGCCGUACACAGUUUAUGCUCUUGUGGGCCAGGAGCUUUGGUGUUGCCUUUUAUGCUCGUGCAGACCAGGAGCGUUGAUGUCGCCUUUUAUGCUCGUGUGGGUCAGGAGCGUUGAUGUUGCCUUUUAUGCUCGUGCAGACCAGGAGCUUUGUGCCAUGCAGUUUAGACUCGUGCGGGCAAGGAGCUUUGGUUCGUGCAGUUUAGGCUCAUGCGAACAAGGAGCAUUGGUUCGUGCAGUUUAGGCUCGUGCGAACAAGGAGCAUUGGUGUUGCCUUUUAUGCUCGUGCAGACCAGGAGCUUUGUGCUAUGCAGUUUAGACUCGUGCGGGUGAGGAGAAUUUGUGAAUUUUGUCAAGCACUUUUGGAGAGGCGUUCCUUACAAUCUUCAUAGCAAGGAGCCUUGACCGAGUGAUUGAAGAAGUCUUCGGGAAAGAAGUCGCACAUCGUGAUGGCAACAGACGAUCUUUGUGUCGUAAUUUCAUCAUCUUCAACACGUUCACGUUGCUUUGAAGGUUGACAAGAGCUGCUUUGCCCCCUUUCCGAUUGGCGGACUUGUGGAGGAGACGUAUGCUUCUUGUGCCAUUUCUUAGGAGUGACUUGAGUCCAUCCUUCAAGUUUGCUUGUUUUGGAGGAUGCCCCCGGCGGUUGAGGUGAAAAUUUUGUGUUGAAAGAGCCAGAAGUGAUGGUGGUAUAGUUUGACUUCACCACAUCGUCAAGAUCUAGCUCGAUGAUUCCUUUCUGAGCCCACUUUAUGAUGAGAUCUUUCAGCACAAAGCACUUUUCUGUCGGAUGACUGAUGAAGCGGUGGAAUUUACAGUAUCUUGGACUGUUGGUACGAUUCAUCUCUUCCGGCCAUCUGCACUCAGGCAAACUGAUCACCUUCUUGUCCAACAGGUCAUCCAACAUGGCAACCACAUCAGAGUCAGGGAAUGGAUAAGUCUUCUCUUUAAGCUCCUUCAAAGUGCGUCUACGCAUCUCUUGAUCACGAAAAGCUUCGGUUUGAAUCGUUUUGCCUCGUGUGGAGAUUUUGACGGGAGAUGUGUUGACUGUCAUUGCUUCCUUGGUGGAUUUCCACGUAGCCUUCUCCACCUUUGUCUCAAGAAUUUUGUCGUUCUUGUAGUCGGCGAUCGGUUCCUUCUUCCCAUGAUGGGUGAUGCUCAACUCCAUGUCAUGGGCGUGGGUGGCCAAUUCCUCGAAGGUCCGUGGUUUAAUGCCUUGAAGGAUGUAUUGCAAACCUCAUUGCAUGCCUUGGAUGCACAUCUCGAUUGAAGAGGUCUCCGAGAGCCUAUCUUUGCAGUCGAGGCUUAGAGUGCGCCAUCUGUUGAUGUAGUCAAUGACCGGCUCAUCUUUCCAUUGCUUCAUACUUGUGAGCUCCAACAUGCUUACAGUGCGGCGGGUGUUGUAGAAGCGGUUGAGGAAUUCCCGCUCCAAUUGCUCCCAGCUGUUGAUGGACUCAGGCUCUAGGUCCGUGUACCACUCAAAUGCGUUUCUUUUCAGCGAGCGCAUAAACUGCUUGGCGAAGUAGUCCCCCUCCGUCCCCGCGUUGUUGCAAGUUUUGACGAAAUGUGCAACGUGCUGCUUUGGGUUUCCUUUUCCAUCAAACUGCAUGAACUUUGGUGGUUGAUAUCCCAUCGGCAUCUUUAGGGCAUCAAUCUUCUUUGAAUAAGGCUUUGAGUACAACCCGGAGGUAUUUGAGCUCCCUUCGUACUAUGCCUUGACGGUGCUGGCAAUCAUCUCUUGCAACUGUUGGAUAGAAAGAGAUCCCAUGAGUGCCGCUUCUUGGUCUGGCUCCGGCUUCACAUCGAUUUUCUCCACCGUAGGCUCAUCUUCUGGGUUAGGGUUCUCGCUGUCCUGUGGCUCCAGUUGACUGAUGAGUGCAGCGAUUUGCAAGUCUUUUUCUUCCACAGUUCGGGUUAGCCUUGCGAUUGCUUCAUUCAUUUGAGCCAGUUGUUCUUCGAUGGAGGUAACGCCGAUGGUCAUGACUUGUGCAACCAAUAGACGUGACUUUCCUUUAGACAUCCAAGAUGCUGAAGAAGAACGUCAUUGGUUGUUUUGGGAUGUCAUCUUGUGUGCCUCAGCAACAUGCUUUGGUGCCCCCAGCGAGGUCAGGUUGAUGACAGACUCACACCUUUGAUGCUCCCUUUGCUCUUUUAGCGGCACCAACUUUGAAGUGGCAUGUUAAGGAGCGGUUGUGGUGCUAAUGGAUUGUCCAUUUGCGGCAGAAGUGCUUAGGAUCCUUCCCUCAGUGAUUGCGAGAACGGCUUGUCCCUUGCUUGAUGCCAUUGAUUUUGAGGUGUGUUUGGAUUCCUUAAACGGAGAAAGAUAUGAGAGGUAGAGAUUGUCCCACCGGGCGUGCCAAUUUGUGAACACGAAAAUUUCCUGAAACGAAAGAGACAAGAACAACGUGCACAAAAUAAUAUUUUGGUGUUAAUGGAUUUGUUGGGUUACGAUCUCUUUUAACUUGAUCCUCUGAUUCGAUCUCCGUAAGGUGUUGAUUUAUGGAUGUUUCGUUGAUCUAAGGGCCGUCGAGGCUUGAUCUUGGAUGAACUGUUGGAAGUUUCUUCAAGGGGCCGUGGGCUUGAUCUUUGAAGGUGGAUUUGAGCGGAUCUUCAAGGAGCCGUUGGGGCUUGAUCUUGAGGAUGAGUGUUUCUUCAAGGGCCGUUAAGGCUUGAUCUUGAAUAACGGUGAUGAACGGAUCUUCAAGGGCUUUUGGGCUUGAUCUUGAAGAACGGUUGGAUGUGUGGAUUUGUUGAUGUUGUUGAUCCAAGGGCCGUCGGGGCUUGAUCUUGGAAGAACGAUGAACGAAGAACGAAGAACACUUUCUUCAAAGGCCGUCGGGGCUUGAUCUUGAAUUGGUGAUUGUUGAUCCAAGGGCCGUCGGGGCUUGAUCUUGGAAGAACGGUGAACGAAGAAUGAAGAACGAAGAACACUUUCUUCAAGGGCCGUCGGGGCUUGAUCUUGAAUUGGUGAUUGUUAAUCAAAGGGCCGUCGGGGCUUGAUCUUGGAAGAACGAUGAACGAAGAACGAAGAAGGCUUUCUUGAUUCUUCGGGAUGAACGGAUGAUGAACAAUGAACACUUUCUUCAAGGGCCAUCGGGGCUUGAUCUUGAAUUGGUGGAAGUUCUUCAGGGCCUUUGGGGCUUGAUCUUGAAGGUGGAUGAUUGUUGAUCCAAGGGCCGUCGGGGCUUGAUCUUGGGAUGAACAGUUGUGUGGAUUUGUUGAACACUUUCUUCAAGGGCCGUCGAUGCUUGAUCUUGAAUUGGUGGAAGUUCGUCAAGGGCCGUUGGGGCUUGAUCUUGAAGAAGGAUUUGACGAAGAACGAAGAGAGCUUUCUUGAUCCUUCGGAAUUUGCUUGAAUUUGGGAGGUUGGAUGCUUGAAAGCUUUAGAGUUUCAAAGCUUCAAGGAUUUUGGAUGUGUGGGGAGUAUUCUCUUACAUUUUGGGAGUAGAGAAAUGUAUUUGUGAAUUGGUUUUUGAUACCUUGAUGUAGAAGCCUAUUUAUAGGCUUUGAGAAUGAAUCACCACCACAAAAUAUUUUUUUCUUUUCCAAGCACCAUUGCCUAAUUUCCCACUUAAUACAAUUUUAAACUUGAAGUGGUAAUUUUAUGGCCUAAUUUUCCACUUAAUAUCAUUUUAAACUUGAUAUGUGCAUGCUUUGUCAUUGCCCAAAAUGAGAAGAAAACCUUGUUUUGAUCUUCAAUGGAUUGAAAUGUGCUUUGCCUUGUCAUUGCCCAAAAUGAGAAGAAAAACUUGUGUAAUCCUCCAAGGGUAUUUCUUUUUAUUUUGUUGAGUCACACACCAUGUGUACAAUUUGUAUGACACGUGGCAUAUGCCAUAUAUGCCUUGACACGUCAAAAUUUUAAUGCGUUGGUGAACAUUUAUUUCACCGCAAUUUCGAUGUCUACAAUUUCAUUUCUUGUGAAUAAUGUUUAUCCUGUGUUCUGUCCAAUCGCGUAUUAAAAAAUGUGUGAAGUUUGGAUUAACCACACUCUUUUAGAAUUUCCUUUAUUUACCACUUUUUGAGAAUUUCCAAUAAGACUGGGUGAGUCUCCGCUGAGAAUUUCCUCAACUAACACCACACUACUUGAGGGAUAAUUUGUUAUAUCUUUGAAUAAAGAAUAAAACAGUUUCCUACUUUUGAAGGUACUAUUAACUUACACUAUAUUUGGAUGAAGGUCAAACUUUAUAAAUUGACAUACACCAAAUUCUUUGUUUGGAUUCAUAAACAUAUAAAUUUAGAAUUUCCGCGUGGAAAAAAAAAAUACUUAGAAUUUGAGACCUCCAAUUCUCAAAUUGAAAGUUUAAAAAUAAUAAAUUCCGUAUUCAAUUCAAUUGUUCUUUUAGGUUAACCAAAUAAGAAAAUUCACAAAUUCUAAAAUAUAAAAUCUCAUCAUUUCAAUUUCCGUCAUUUUAAAAUUCCUUAGUAAUAUUAAAUUUCUUCAUCCAAACAUAGUGUUAAGAAAUUUUUUAAAGAUACACUAUUUACACUCAUUUUUAUUUCUUACACAUUUAUUAACUUUGUCCAUUGAUUUCUUCAAUUCAUUUUGCCAGUUAUACAAAAAUUGAGAACAGUAUUUAUGAAUUAAAAAUACAUUUGUAGAUGUCACUACCAAAUUUUUAUUCCUAAUUCAAGAAAAUCUUAUCCAUAUAUGAUUGCCCUUGCCCACUUUAAAUGGGUGCCAUCACUUUACGAUAGAGCAAUCCUAACCGUCCACCUAGGUAAGCAUAACUGGCGAUGCAUGUCGCAAGGGGACCGCAUUGCACAAUAUAAUUAUACUAGUUGAUAAGACAAGUGAUGUCAAUCAAUAAAUUAUUUCAUUAAAACUUAGUUGUAUGUAUCAUAUGUUGUAAUGUAGGGUGUAUGAUAUGCUGACGCUGUAAAAAAAUGUAACCUUUUUAAUAUUACUCAUAAUAGUAAGACUUACCAGUAUUAGGAUGUUAUCAGUGGAAUGAGAAUCCUCUCCAGAUCUUUUUUGUGAGCUAUUAUUUGUAUUUAAUUUUAAAUAUAAAAAAUUAAAAUAAUUUAUGACGGCAGUGAUUCACAUGAUCUUCACAAAGAGAAUCCAAAUAAUCUUAAUUUAUAUCAGUGUGUCUAGAUAACAUGAUCGAGCCCCUUUACUUUUACCCUAUUUAGUAUUUUACAUUUGAACCUGUAAAUAUUCGAUUUUUCUUUGGUGCAACCGAGCACCAAAUAUAGAUUUUUUUUCACUUUUAUAUAAUGAUAAAUAAAGGGCAAUUGGCAGAUUUGAAUUCCAUUCGGAUUGGUCAAAAAUCAUUUUAAAUUGUUUUAUUUAAAAUUAAACACAUAUAGUACUUAAUAAAAAUUAGUCGUACAAUAUACGAUAAACAGAUAUAAUGUAAGGACCUUUAUGAUCUUCACAAAAAAGAUCCAAAGGUUGUGUAGCUGUUUCAAAAGGAUAAUACUCACUUUUGAUUAGUUCAAUGAAAUUUUAAACAUGUUUUAUUGUUUUAAAAAAUAAUAAACAUAUUUAUUAAUGUUUGUUUUACUUUAAAAAAUAAGCAGCACUUGACAACAUUUGAUUGUGCUAAAUAAAAAAUGAGUGACCACUUAGUACUACAGUCUUAUGAUAUUUUUCUUCAUUUGAAAGUGAGAGGUUUUAAGUUCGAAUCUCGUGGAUGACGAAUUUGAUAUCAAAUUAGAUUGCUCACUAUGUGGCUUAGCCGAACUCUCAUUUCCUUUAAUGUAAAAAUAUUGAUGUAUUCAAAAAAAUAAAAAGUGACUAUAGAGGACACUCAAUCUCAGCUGUAUGAUUAAAUCAGACGGUAAGAAAAAUUCUGCAAGCAUACUCGGUUACAUUAAUUGAAGAAAAAAUGGGUAAAUAUUGGGCACCAACGUUAUAAAUACCCUCCACCAUGCACCCAACUCCCUCACACCAUCACAACCCACGUUACAAAUCCUCCUCCUCAUCAUAACCAUUCUGUUUUCCGCAUAAUAUCCAAAAACCUAUCAUGUCUGAAGAGAAACACCACCGCGGUCUCUUCCACCACCACAAGGAUGAAGACAAACCCUCAGACUACCCUCAGUCUGGCUACUCUGAUGAAGGACGUCCCGGCGGCCUCGGUGGUGGUUACGGCGACACCAAUGAUUAUUCUGGUGAAGGACGUACCGGCGGCCUAGGUGGUGGCUAUGGCGACACCAAUGCUUAUUCUGGUGAAGGACGUCCCGGCGGCUAUGGCGGCUAUAACGAGACCACUGCUUACUCUGAGGAAAGAGUUGAAAGACCCGGCGGUGGCCGGUACAGUGAGACUACUGCGGCAUAUGGCAGCACCACCACUCAUGAAUCUGAACUUGAUUACAAGAAGGAGGAGAAGCACCACAAGCAUCUCGAGCACCUCGGCGAGGCCGGUGUAGCUGCUGCCGGCGCUUUUGCCUUGGUACGUAUUGUAUUUUAACCCACCUCUAUAUAUAUAUAUAUUAGAAUAAUGCUAAUAAGACCAAAUUUUGAAAACUAAAUGAUGUGGUUGUUGAUAAUGAACUUAUUACUCAAGUCUUGAUUAACAUGCUUAUUUUCUAAUAGUGACACAUUAUUUGGUUUAGAAAUUUGGUCUUCCUAACUUUAUCAUUCUCAAAAUUUUCAUGAUUUUGAUAGGGUAAUACGGGAGAUCAAAAUUUCUAAACCAAAUUUGCAAACCAAUAGAUGAUUGGAUUAUUAAUUAAGUAUCGAUUGUUUGUUUCUUAUUAACGACAUAUCAUUUGAUUUACAAUUUAGUUAAAAAAAAUUUAUUCUUUCUGUCAUAUCCUUUUGAAUAUUUGAUCACUUUACUCUUUAUCACUUUACCCUUGAUCACUUUACCCAUACUCUUGCAACCGAAUCACCGUCCUCCUCCUUAACCUUCAUUUUUUUGUCUUACAGUACUCCAAUCUAUCAACUCUGUCCAUUGCAACUUUAAUUGUGAAGAAAAUUAAAGUCCUAUCGUAAAAUUAAUUAGUGAUAUGGAGAGUUGCGCAAUUAUUGAUGGACUAGGUAGGUAAGAUACGGAAUCAAAGUCUACCAUUAACAAUGGACGGAAUUGAUGAACCAUAUAGGUAUGUAAGAUACGGAAUCAAAGUCCUCAUGUAAAUGGUACAGUUGCAAUCAGGAGAAGAAAUGAGUUAACUGAUACCUUCGUAAUAGUUCAUGUAGAGUUUUGAUAUUAUUAAGCCUUAACCACCUGAUCUUAUAUAUACGAGGACAAAUCUAAUCAAAUAUGUGUUAAUUUCAAGGUUUGUUUUACAUUGAUGUGAGAUCGAUGCUAGCAAGAUAUAUAACUUAUGUCAGUUUCUAUAUGAUGUGUGUAGCAUGAGAAGCACAAUGAAAAGAAAGACCCAGAGCAUGCCCAC
rnacentral:lncRNA from 1 species